rnacentral:piRNA from 1 species
UCCCGAUUCGUGUGUGCUCACCCA